UUUAGAAGGGGUCAUUGGAGUCUGAGCUCCUUGAGUCUCUUUGUACAGUCUCCCUAUGGGUUCUAAUGUGUGUGCAGCCAGCAGAGUGGCAUCACAGAAGACAUUCACAUAACUUAAGUAUGCUUGCAGCUAUUUUUCCUUGUAAAUGAGGCACUUUAACAUGAGCUCACGUUCUCACAGAGACGUGGAGGAGGAUUUGAUGCAGAUGUCAUUCAGCCGAGGAAGGAGACUUGUUGCAGCAACCCAUAUUGCCAGAUCACAAAGCCUGCUGCAUGUCAAGCACUGAGUCUUAUUUGCAACUCAUUAAGCACUGAGGUGGUGUCGUCAUGCUUCCUGAAGAAGAAGAGAAAAGACCAAGAAAGUUGCCAUUUGCUAAGGGUAACAUAGAAAAGGCAGCAGGAACCAGGGCACCAG